rnacentral:rRNA from 1 species
GAUGAACGCUAGCGGCAGGCUUAAUACAUGCAAGUCAAGGGGGUAGCAAUACAACCGGCGCACGGGUGAGUAACGCGUACACAACAUACCAUAUACUGGAGUAUAGCUUCGGGAAACUGAAGGUAAUCCUCCAUAACAUUGCGAGAAGGCAUCUAAUUGCAAUUAAAGUUUCGACGGUAUAUGAUUGGUGUGCGUUUGAUUAGCUAGUUGGUAGGGUAACGGCCUACCAAGGCGACGAUCAAUAGCUGGCGUGAGAGCGCGACCAGCCACACUGGAACUGAGACACGGUCCAGACUCCUAGGGAGGCAGCAGUAGGGAAUAUUGGACAAUGGGCGAAAGCCUGAUCCAGCCAU